GAUCCUGGCUCAGGAUGAACGCUGGCGGCGUGCUUAACACAUGCAAGUCGAACGAAGCACUUAAUGAGAUUUCUUCGGACUGAUUAUUUUGUGACUGAGUGGCGGACGGGUGAGUAACGCGUGGGUAACCUGCCCCAGACCGGGGGAUAACAGUCGGAAACGACUGCUAAUACCGCAUAAGCGCACGGUGUCGCAUGACACAGUGUGAAAACACUCCGGUGGUAUGAGAUGGACCCGCGUCUGAUUAGCUAGUUGGUGAGGUAAACGGCCCACCAAGGCGACGAUCAGUAGCCGGCCUGAGAGGGUGAACGGCCACAUUGGGACUGAGACACGGCCCAAACUCCUACGGGAGGCAGCAGUGGGGAAUAUUGCACAAUGGGGGAAACCCUGAUGCAGCGACGCCGCGUGAGCGAAGAAGUAUUUCGGUAUGUAAAGCUCUAUCAGCAAGGAAGAAAAAAUGACGGUACCUGACUAAGAAGCCCCGGCUAACUACGUG
rnacentral:rRNA from 1 species